rnacentral:rRNA from 1 species
UACGGAGGGUGCAAGCGUUAUCCGGAUUUACUGGGUUUAAAGGGUGCGUAGGUGGGUCUGUAAGUCAGUGGUGAAAUCCCCGGGCUUAACCUGGGAAUGGCAUUUGGGACUGCAAGGCUUGAGUGCGGCAGAGGAGACUGGAAUUCCUGGUGUAGCAGUGAAAUGCGUAGAUAUCAGGAGGAACACCGAUGGCGAAGGCAGGUCUCUGGGCUGACACUGACGCUCAUGCACGAAAGCGUGGGGAGCAAACAGG